GACGAACGCUGGCGGCGCGCUUAACACAUGCAAGUCGAGCGAGAACCAGGGCUUCGGCCCUGGGGACAGCGGCGAACGGGUGAGUAACACGUGGAUAACCUGCCCUCGGCACCGGGAUAGCCCGGGGAAACCCGGAUUAAUACCGGAUGGCCCUUCAGGCUCACGAGCCGGUCGGAAGAGGUAGCUUCGGCCUCCGGCCGAGGAUGGGUCCGCGGCGGAUUAGGUUGUUGGUGGGCUAACGGCCCACCAAGGCUCCGAUCCGUAGCUGGUCUGAGAGGACGCUCAGCCACACUGGGACUGAGACACGGCCCAGACUCCUACGGGAGGCAGCAGUGGGGAAUCUUGCGCAAUGGGCGAAAGCCUGACGCAGCGACGCCGCGUGAGGGAGGAAGGCCUUCGGGUUGUAAACCUCUUUCAGGAGGGACGAAGCUACUCGGGUGAAUAGCCCAGAGGGUGACGGUACCUCCAGAAGAAGCCCCGGCUAACUACGUGCCAGCAGCCGCGGUAA
rnacentral:rRNA from 1 species